rnacentral:rRNA from 1 species
AUAAGCGGAGGAAAAGAAACUAACAAGGAUUCCCCUAGUAACUGCGAGUGAAGCGGGAAAAGCUCAAAUUUAAAAUCUGGCGGUCUUCGGCCGUCCGAGUUGUAGUCUGGAGAAGUGCUUUCCGCGCUGGACCGUGUACAAGUCUCCUGGAAUGGAGCGUCAUAGAGGGUGAGAAUCCCGUCUUUGACACGGACUACCAGUGCUCUGUGAUGCGCUCUCAAAGAGUCGAGUUGUUUGGGAAUGCAGCUCAAAAUGGGUGGUGAAUUCCAUCUAAAGCUAAAUAUUGGCGAGAGACCGAUAGCGAACAAGUACCGUGAGGGAAAGAUGAAAAGCACUUUGGAAAGAGAGUUAAACAGUACGUGAAAUUGUUGAAAGGGAAACGCUUGAAGUCAGUCGCGUCUGCCAGAACUCAGCCUUGCAAUCUUUUUUGCCUGGUGUACUUUCUGGUGGACGGGCCAGCAUCAAUUUUGACUGCCGGAGAAGGGCUGGGGGAAUGUGGCACCUUCGGGUGUGUUAUAGCCCCUGGUCGCAUACGGUGGUUGGGAUUGAGGAAUUCAGCAUGCCUUUAUUGGUCGGGGUUCGCCCACGUUCAUGCUUAGGAUGCUGGCGUAAUGGCUUUAAACGACCCGUCUUGAAACACGGACCAAGGAGUCUAACAUGCCCGCGAGUGUUCGGGUGGAAAACCCGUGCGCGUAAUGAAAGUGAAAGUUGGGACCUCUGUUAUGGAGGGCACCGACGCCCGGACCAGACCUUCUGUGACGGAUCUGCGGUAGAGCGUGUAUGUUGGGACCCGAAAGAUGGUGAACUAUGCCUGAAUAGGGUGAAGCCAGAGGAAACUCUGGUGGAGGCUCGUAGCGAUUCUGACGUGCAAAUCGAUCGUCAAAUUUGGGUAUAGGGGCGAAAGACUAAUCGAACCAUCUAGUAGCUGGUCCUG